GCCUUUCGGAGCUGUGCGGCAUUCUGAGCAGGAAUGGCAGUGUGGACCUCUGUGAUGGGACAUCUUGUGGGAUCUCACAGCCAGUUCUGUGGCAAAGGAGGAUGAAGGCUUACGAGGACUCGUCAGGAAGCUGGAUAACAGAGCGAGCGCAAUGUGCUAGAAUAGAAGACCAGAAAAUGAAAUGGUGGAGUUUGAGGCUGGAUAGACAGUUUGAAAGUUAACUGGUUGCAUGCUUGUUCAUUUGGCUGGCUUGCUUGGGUACAAAUAAUGGUUUGAAUAAAGAAAGGUAAGCAUUGUAAGUUUGGUAUUUACUAUAUGAAUUAAGGUACUGUUAGUGAUGAUCAAUAAAGUUAAACAGAUGGGAAUCUCUCUGAAUAAGAUUGAAGAUUGAUUGUUAAGCUGAAACAGUAUUUAAGGACAUCAGUAAAUAUACUUUACAAAUACAUAUUUCUAAACGGAGUGUAAUUUCUUACAGGUAUUAAUGGGUCACCUCAAGUGAAGGCACUGCAAACACAAUGAUUGGUCAUUCUGAAUUUCCGGUCCUUCAUUCUGAAUUUCAAAGGCUCCUGUGACAAGUGGACAUGCAGUGACUGCACCUUUGUUUCUGAGGUGCCUGGAUGGAGGCUCAAAUAGAAGAUGGUGUCAGAUAUAUUGUGUUAAAAUUUUACCAUUAAAGUGUAUUAUAACAUGAA
rnacentral:lncRNA from 1 species